rnacentral:rRNA from 1 species
GAGGGGAGUGAAAAAGAACCUGAAACCGUGUACGUACAAGCAGUGGGAGCACGCUUAGGCGUGUGACUGCGUACCUUUUGUAUAAUGGGUCAGCGACUUAUAUUCUGUAGCAAGGUUAACCGAAUAGGGGAGCCGAAGGGAAACCGAGUCUUAACUGGGCGUUAAGUUGCAGGGUAUAGACCCGAAACCCGGUGAUCUAGCCAUGGGCAGGUUGAAGGUUGGGUAACACUAACUGGAGGACCGAACCGACUAAUGUUGAAAAAUUAGCGGAUGACUUGUGGCUGGGGGUGAAAGGCCAAUCAAACCGGGAGAUAGCUGGUUCUCCCCGAAAGCUAUUUAGGUAGCGCCUCGUGAAUUCAUCUCCGGGGGUAGAGCACUGUUUCGGCAAGGGGGUCAUCCCGACUUACCAACCCGAUGCAAACUG